GACAGAGGGUGCAAACGUUGCUCGGAAUUACUGGGCGUAAAGCGCGUGUAGGCGGUUUCGCAAGUCAGGUGUGAAAGCCCGGGGCUCAACCCCGGAAGUGCACAUGAUACUACGGAGCUGGAGUACUGAAGAGGAGAGCGGAAUUCCCGGUGUAGAGGUGAAAUUCGUAGAUAUCGGGAGGAACACCAGUGGCGAAGGCGGCUCUCUGGGCAGAUACUGACGCUGAGACGCGAAAGCAUGGGGAGCAAACAGG
rnacentral:rRNA from 1 species